UACGUAGGGUGCAAGCGUUGUCCGGAAUUAUUGGGCGUAAAGAGCUCGUAGGCGGUUUGUUGCGUCGGCUGUGAAAUCCCCGAGGCUCAACCUCGGGUCUGCAGUCGAUACGAGCAAACUAGAGUGUUGCAGGGGAGACUGGAAUUCCUGGUGUAGCGGUGAAAUGCGCAGAUAUCAGGAGGAACACCGGUGGCGAAGGCGGGUCUCUGGGCAACAACUGACGCUGGAGGAGCGAAAGCGUGGGGAGCGAACAGG
rnacentral:rRNA from 1 species